rnacentral:rRNA from 1 species
GACGAACGCUGGCGGCGUGCUUAACACAUGCAAGUCGAACGGAAAGGCCCUGCUUUUGUGGGGUGCUCGAGUGGCGAACGGGUGAGUAACACGUGAGUAACCUGCCCUUGACUUUGGGAUAACUUCAGGAAACUGGGGCUAAUACCGGAUAGGAGCUCCUGCUGCAUGGUGGGGGUUGGAAAGUUUCGGCGGUUGGGGAUGGACUCGCGGCUUAUCGGCUUGUUGGUGGGGUAGUGGCUUACCAAGGCUUUGACGGGUAGCCGGCCUGAGAGGGUGACCGGCCACAUUGGGACUGAGAGACGGACCAGACGCCUACGGGAGGCAGCAGUGGGGAAUAUUGCACAAUGGGCGGAAGCCUGAUGCAGCAACGCCGCGUGCGGGAUGACGGCCUUCGGGUUGUAAACCGCUUUCGCCUGUGACGAAGCGUGAGUGACGGUAAUGGGUAAAGAAGCACCGGCUAACUACGUG